AGUGUAAUUGAAUGACUCUCAGGGCCUUGAACAAGACCCAGUGAACAAUUUUUGGAGACCCUAUUUUUCGGAGUAGGGUG
rnacentral:snRNA from 1 species